GAUGAACGCUAGCUACAGGCUUAACACAUGCAAGUCGAGGGGCAGCACAGUGUAGCAAUACAUGGGUGGCGACCGGCGCGACGGGUGCGUAACGCGUAUCCAACCUUCCCGAUACUCUUGGAUAGCCUUCCGAAAGGGAGAUUAAUACAAGAUGGUGUUUCACUUUCGCAUGUUAUUGAAACUAAAGAUUUAUCGGUAUCGGAUGGGGAUGCGUGACAUUAGAUAGUAGGCGGGGUAACGGCCCACCUAGUCUGCGAUGUCUAGGGGGUUCUGAGAGGAAGGUCCCCCACACUGGAACUGAGACACGGUCCAGACUCCUACGGGAGGCAGCAGUGAGGAAUAUUGGUCAAUGGUCGGAAGACUGAACCAGCCAAGUAGCGUGAAGGAUGAAGGUUCUAUGGAUUGUAAACUUCUUUAUACGGGAAUAAAACACCUUACGUGUAGGGUCUUGUAUGUACCGUAUGAAUAAGCAUCGGCUAACUCCGUG
rnacentral:rRNA from 1 species